rnacentral:tRNA from 1 species
UUUGUAUUAGCUCAGUGAAGAGCGAUCGAAUGCUAAUCGAUAGGUCGCGGUGUCAAAUCCGCAUACGACU